CUGGAAACUGUGCGUCUUGUGGAGCAGUCAUAAAACAAGUCAAGCUUUGCCAAGGAAUUGUAACUGAUGGAUAUGGGGCAAUCGCUAGUAGACCCAAUCAAAAUAAGUCCUCCCCAGUUCGUCUCACAGGUACAUGUCCAGGGUUUCACACAGGUGCCGUGCACACAACCUGGAUACGGCAAACACUCGUCACACAGCGGACCCUGCCAGCCGUACUUACACCUGGAACACCAACACAUUACUGCUUGUGAGCCAGUAAGGAAAUAAUACAAUCAGGAAGGACCAGGAAGUACCCCCUCCCUCCCCACCACCACCCCAAAAAAACCAGACACACACCCA